CCUACGGGAGGCAGCAGUAGGGAAUAUUGCUCAAUGGGGGAAACCCUGAAGCAGCAACGCCGCGUGGAGGAUGAAGGUUUUCGGAUUGUAAACUCCUUUUGUUAGAGAAGAUAAUGACGGUAUCUAACGAAUAAGCACCGGCUAACUCCGUGCCAGCAGCCGCGGUAAUACGGAGGGUGCAAGCGUUACUCGGAACAACUGGGCGUAAGGAGCGCGUAGGCGGGAUAGCAAGUCAGAUGUGAAAUCCUAUGGCUUAACCAUAGAACCGCAGUUGAAACUGUUAUUCUAGAGUAUGGGAGAGGUAGGUGGAAUGCUUGGUGUAGGGGUAAAAUGCGUAGAUAUCAAGAGGAAUACUGAUUGCGAAGGCGACCUGAUAGAACAUAACUGACGCUGAUGCGCGAAAGCGUGGGGAGCAAACAGGAUUAGAUACCCUAGUAGUC
rnacentral:rRNA from 1 species